AUUGAACGCUGGCGGCAUGCUUUACACAUGCAAGUCGAACGGCAGCACGGGCUUCGGCCUGGUGGCGAGUGGCGAACGGGUGAGUAAUACAUCGGAACGUACCCAGUAGUGGGGGAUAGCCCGGCGAAAGCCGGAUUAAUACCGCAUAUGCCCUGAGGGGGAAAGCGGGGGACCGAAAGGCCUCGCGCUAUUGGAGCGGCCGAUGGCUGAUUAGCUAGUUGGUGGGGUAAAGGCCUACCAAGCCUGCGAUCUGUAGCUGGUCUGAGAGGACGACCAGCCACACUGGAACUGAGACACGGUCCAGACUCCUACGGGAGGCAGCAGUGGGGAAUUUUGGACAAUGGACGCAAGUCUGAUCCAGCAAUGCCGCGUGCAGGACGAGGGCCUUCGGGUUGUAAACUGCUUUUGUACGGAACGAAACGGUGAGCUCUAAUACAGUUUGCUAAUGACGGUACCGUAAGAAUAAGCACCGGCUAACUACGUGCCAGCCGCCGCCGUAA
rnacentral:rRNA from 1 species